AGUGAACGCUGGCGGUAGGCCUAACACAUGCAAGUCGAACGGCAGCACAGUAAGAGCUUGCUCUUACGGGUGGCGAGUGGCGGACGGGUGAGGAAUACAUCGGAAUCUACUUUUUCGUGGGGGAUAACGUAGGGAAACUUACGCUAAUACAGCAUACGACCUACGGGUGAAAGCAGGGGAUCUUCGGACCUUGCGCGAUUGAAUGAGCCGAUGUCGGAUUAGCUAGUUGGCGGGGUAAAGGCCCACCAAGGCGACGAUCCGUAGCUGGUCUGAGAGGAUGAUCAGCCACACUGGAACUGAGACACGGUCCAGACUCCUACGGGAGGCCGCAGUGGGGAAUAUUGGACAAUGGGCGCAAGCCUGAUCCAGCCAUACCGCGUGGGUGAAGAAGGCCUUCGGGUUGUAAAGCCCUUUUGUUGUGAAAGAAAAGCAGCAGGUUAAUACCCCGCUGUUCUGACGGUACCCAAAGAAUAAGCACCGGCUAACUUCGUG
rnacentral:rRNA from 1 species